GACGAACGCUGGCGGCGUGCCUAAUACAUGCAAGUUGAGCGCUGAAGGUUGGUCCUUGUACCAACUGGAUGAGCAGCGAACGGGGGAGUAACGCGUGGGGAAUCUGCCUUUGAGCGGGGGACAACAUUUGGAAACGAAUGCUAAUACCGCAUAAAAACUUUAAACACAAGUUUUAAGUUUGAAAGAUGCAAUUGCAGCACUCAAAGAUGAUCCCGCGUUGUAUUAGCUAGUUGGUGAGGUAAAGGCUCACCAAGGCGAUGAUACAUAGCCGACCUGAGCGGGUGAUCCGCCACAUUGGGACUGAGAAACGGCCCAAACUCCUACGGGAGGCAGCAGUAGGGAAUCAUCGGACAUGGACGAAAGGCUGAACGAGCAACGCCGCGUGAGGGAAGAAGGUUUUCGGAUCGUAAAACUCUGUUGGUAGAGAAGAACGUUGGUGAGAGUGGAAAGCUCAUCAAGUGACGGUAACUACACAGAAAGGGACGGCUAACUACGUG
rnacentral:rRNA from 1 species